rnacentral:rRNA from 1 species
AGAGCGAACGCUGGCGGCAGGCCUAACACAUGCAAGUCGAGCGCCCCGCAAGGGGAGCGGCAGACGGGAGAGUAACACGUGGGAACGUACCCUUUGGUUCGGAACAACACAGGGAAACUUGUGCUAAUACCGGAUAAGCCCUUACGGGGAAAGAUUUAUUACCAAAGGAUCGGCCCGCGUCUGAUUAGCUUGUUGGUGAGGUAACGGCUCACCAAGGCUACGAUCAGUAGCUGGUCUGAGAGGAUGAUCAGCCUCACUGGGACUGAGACACGGCCCAGACUCCUACGGGAGGCAGCAGUGGGGAAUAUUGGACAAUGGGCGCAAGCCUGAUCCAGCCAUGCCGCGUGGAUGAUGAAGGCCCUAGGGUUGUAAAGUCCUUUCGACGGGGAAGAUAAUGACGGUACCCGUAGAAGAAGCCCCGGCUAACUUCGCGCCAGCAGCCGC